UUUGGUUUGAUUUCAACAAGCCUCUUCCUAACUGACAGCACUUCAGCUGCUGGAGAGAAAUGACUGCCCAGGGAGACUUUUGCACAGAUGCGAUGAGUCUGAGAUGUGUUUUCAAUCUGGGCAACACAGAGCUGGACCCAAGAGGUGGAUCUGAAAGACAAGAUUUCAGCCAGGAAGGAUGGAGGCUACUGGAGGAGAACCACAGCCAGAAAGUCUCCAAAACUGGAAGAAACUUUCUCUACACUGAAUGAAUGGGAAAAUGCUGAAAGAAGCUGUGUGCUCCUUUAAAGGAUCCAAAGAGAGAAAACCACUGACACCAUCUCUCCUGAUUUUUCAUUCACAGUGCACUCUUCAAACGCAAUCAGUUUUGGGGGCAUGUUCUGCCUCCGACUGUGCAUACAGUGCUCUCAUUGAAGUCAAUGGAAGCAUUAUGAUACAUUUGAAGAGAGAAUCUGGGACAAAAAGUCAAGUUCUUGCUGGUAAAAUCAAUGACAGAAGUUUCUUUGGCUUCGGUUCUUGCCUUAAAGGCAUCUGUGUAUCUAAGGCUGGAAAGAAUCUUUUUAUGGAUAUAUGUGUCUUAGCAACAUCCUAAGAAAUAAAAACAUUA